rnacentral:rRNA from 1 species
AUUGAACGCUGGCGGCAUGCUUUACACAUGCAAGUCGAACGGCAGCGCGGGGCAACCUGGCGGCGAGUGGCGAACGGGUGAGUAAUAUAUCGGAACGUACCCAGAAGUGGGGGAUAACGUAGCGAAAGUUACGCUAAUACCGCAUACGAUCUACGGAUGAAAGUGGGGGACCUUCGGGCCUCAUGCUUGUGGAGCGGCCGAUAUCUGAUUAGCUAGUUGGUAGGGUAAAGGCCUACCAAGGCAACGAUCAGUAGCUGGUCUGAGAGGACGACCAGCCACACUGGGACUGAGACACGGCCCAGACUCCUACGGGAGGCAGCAGUGGGGAAUUUUGGACAAUGGGCGCAAGCCUGAUCCAGCAAUGCCGCGUGAGUGAAGAAGGCCUUCGGGUUGUAAAGCUCUUUUGUCAGGGAAGAAACGGCUGAGGUUAAUACCUUCGGCUAAUGACGGUACCUGAAGAAUAAGCACCGGCUAACUACGUGCCAGCCGCCGCAGUAA